AUUCAACUUCCUGUUUGGACAGAGUCUGUUCCAGCUCAGAUUAUGAAGGUUAAACAUGUAAAAAAUGUGGGCAGCCAUCAAGACCUAGGGUCAAGGAAGGGACAGUGAGGGCCUGUGACGGUGUUUCAACCAUUAAAUUGAAGAAGUUUAAAUCAGCUCUUCACAAGGAGCCUGACAGGCAUCAAAUGGCAACGUCUGCAGUGAACACAUGACCUCUCACCUGUCUUCAUCUCCAUGGCAACGCAACGACAUUCCUUCUGAUCUUCAUGAUAUUUUUUGGAAAUUGAUUCAAGGGUCCCUGUAAGAAAUUUGAACAUCUUAUUAAAUAUUUUAGUUGGAACUGAGUGUCGACAUCUGUAUGCCAUGCCAGAUUGAGUGUUGAAAAAUCAGGAAAGUUCUUUCCUUACAUUAAAUUAUAUAUUAGAACAUGCAGAAACUGCAGGAUCUUGUGAAUACAUAUAUAUUUUAAUGAGAAACUCUUGCCUUCACCAGCAAAAAAGUAAUUCAAAAGUAAACCAUAAAAGAAUAGUCGAAUGGAAUACUGUAGCGAUGUUCUAGCUUAA